CGGGGGAGACCGGAUGAGGCAACGGCGGCGAGGCUCGAGAUCUCCGGUCGCCACCAUCUCCGCGCCGGUGGGGCUCGAGAUCCCCCGCCUCAUCCUCUCCUGCCUCUGCUUGGGCGAGGAGGCAACAGAUCGGGAGGCAGCGAGAUGAAGCCUUCGAUCCUUCUUCUAUGGCGCCACCUCGACCUCCCGUUUCUUCCUCCUCCGCGUACGCUCUUUUCUUCUUUGUCUUCACCCUCUCUUUCUCUCCAUCUCAGGCAGCAGCAAGCAUGACGAGGAUGGAGACGAACCAGUGGUGACACACGAGGAGGGCGGCAUACCACGAUGGUGGAUCUAGAGUGCUGGGAAGAGAAUGCCCAUGGUGUGCUUACUGGUCCCAUGGUAUGGUGGCGUUGAGAAAUAUGUAUACUUUCAUUGAGUAUGUCCGCACCAGAGUCCAAGACCACGGGUGAAAGAUCUGACAAAAAAGGGAGAACACCAAGAAGAGUGUGUUCAGGGAUAGAGGACGGCCGAGGAAUCAUCUAGCUUACUGAAGCAAAGGGAUGAUUCCUUGAAAAGUGCAACGGCAGUGCCUUAUGUUCAAGUAUUCCUAGCUACAUCGCUUCA